AACGCGAAGAACCUUACCAAGGCUUGACAUGAACCGGACCGCUGCAGAAAUGUGGUUUCCCCUUUGGGGCUGGUUUACAGGUGGUGCAUGGUUGUCGUCAGCUCGUGUCGUGAGAUGUUGGGUUAAGUCCCGCAACGAGCGCAACCCUCGUUCUAUGUUGCCAGCACGUGAUGGUGGGGACUCAUAGGAGACUGCCGGGGUCAACUCGGAGGAAGGUGGGGACGACGUCAAAUCACCAUGCCCCUUAUGUCUUGGGCUUCACGCAUGCUACAAUGGCCGGUACAAAGGGUUGCGAUACUGUGAGGUGGAGCUAAUCCCAAAAAGCCGGUCUCAGUUCGGAUUGGGGUCUGCAACUCGACCCCAUGAAGUCGGAGUCGCUAGUAAUCGCAGAUCAGCAACGCUGCGGUGAAUACGUUCCCGGGCCUUGUACACACCGA
rnacentral:rRNA from 1 species